rnacentral:rRNA from 1 species
AUUGAACGCUGGCGGCAGGCCUAACACAUGCAAGUCGAGCGGAGCGGCGGACGGGUGAGUCAUGCCUAGGCAUCUGCCUGGUAGUGGGGGAUAACGUCCGGAAACGGGCGCUCAUACCGCAUACUAUCAGAUGAGCCUAGGUCGGCUUAGCUAGUUGGUGUGGUAAAGUCCUACCAAGGAGACGAUCCGUAACUGGUCUGAGAGGAUGAUCAGUCACACUGGAACUGAGACACGUUCCAGACUCCUACGGGAGGCAGCAGUGGGGAAUAUUGGACAAUGGGCGAAAGCCUGAUCCAGCCAUGCCGCGGGUGUGAAGAAGGUCUUCGGAUUGUAAAGCACUUUAAGUUGGGAGGCGUUACCAACAGAGUAAGCACCGGCUAACUUCGUGCCAGCAGCCGCGGUAAUAC